rnacentral:lncRNA from 1 species
GGUGAAGGUGGGAGUUCAUAACCCACUUGAAUCAAAGUGUGGAAUAUGAUAUGUCAAGAAAUUUGUAAUGUUUUGAACAACCAACAAUAAAAAAUUAAAAAAAAAGAGAGAGAGAGAGAGAGGAAAAGGACCUGGAGGAGAAAGCGGGGAGAGAAAGGGUAAAUAGUGAGGAAUAAUAUUGGCCAAAUUAUAUUGUUAUAUAGUGUGCAUGUACAAAUUUGUAACAACAAAUCCCACCAUUAUGUAUAUAAAAUUAUAAUGUACCAAUCAAAAUAUGGAAAAAAUGUCAAAGAAAUUCUUUUAAAAAUGAGCACUAUAUGAAUGUUAAUUUGCUUCAAUAUAGUAACAUUUUUUAGUAUCUAUGUGUAUCCCAUAACAUCAUCACCUUAAAUAUACACAAUAAAAUGUAUCUUUGUAAAAGAGGUGAAUUCUUAAAAUGUUACCCAGAUACCUCAUCUCUAUCUCUCUUAUAACUGACAUCUUUGUAAAUGCCUUAUGAUUCCACAGAGUGGAACACAAAGAAAAACUAGACCUACUUGAAUAAAAAUUCUACACUACUGACAUACACACAUACAUAUGCAAAUGUAUGUCUCUGGGACAAUAUGAAAGAAGUCUUCUGUAACAAUGGCUGUUCCAAAAGAAGAUGUGGGGAGACAAGGAAAAGAGGUGUACUGCGUUACUUUUCUCUAUUUACCUGUUUGUUUGUCUGAAUUUUGAACCAUAAGCAUGUAUUAACUUUUUGAAAUACUACAAUAAAAUUCUUUAAAUAUGUUUGUAUACUUCAAAAAAAAAAAACAGAUACAAGUGUAUAUAUGUUGAAGGGUGAUGUAUUUGAAUGUAAAAAUAAAUGCAUUCACUCUGGAAGCUACUUGUUUGGAAUAAAUAGAAGAAUUUUCUUUUUAUUUAAUGUUUGUUUAAGAUGUCUAUUUUCAUAAAAAGAUGCUUUACCC